AACGAACGCUGGCGGCAGGCUUAACACAUGCAAGUCGAACGGGUGUAGCAAUACAUCAGUGGCAGACGGGUGAGUAACACGUGGGAACCUUCCUAGGGGUACGGAACAACUCAGGGAAACUUGAGCUAAUACCGUAUACGUCCGUGAGGAGAAAGAUUUAUCGCCCUUAGACGGGCCCGCGUCGGAUUAGCUAGUUGGUGGGGUAACGGCCUACCAAGGCGACGAUCCGUAGCUGAUCUUAGAGGAUGAUCAGCCACACUGGGACUGAGACACGGCCCAGACUCCUACGGGAGGCAGCAGUGGGGAAUCUUGGACAAUGGGCGCAAGCCUGAUCCAGCCAUGCCGCGUGAGUGAAGAAGGUCUUCGGAUUGUAAAGCUCUUUUACCAGGGACGAUAAUGACGGUACCUGGAGAAUAAGCCCCGGCAAACUUCGUGCCAGCCGCCGCUGUAAAAC
rnacentral:rRNA from 1 species